AUUGAACGCUGGCGGCAGGCUUAACACAUGCAAGUCGAGCGGAGAUGAGGUGCUUGCACCUUAUCUUAGCGGCGGACGGGUGAGUAAUGCUUAGGAAUCUGCCUAUUAGUGGGGGACAACAUUCCGAAAGGAAUGCUAAUACCGCAUACGUCCUACGGGAGAAAGCAGGGGAUCUUCGGACCCUGCGCUAAUAGAUGAGCCUAAGUGGGAUUAGCUAGUUGGUGGGGUAAAGGCCUACCAAGGCGACGAUCUGUAGCGGGUCUGAGAGGAUGAUCCGCCACGCUGGGACUGCGACACGGCCCAGACUACUACGGGAGGCAGCAGCGGGGAAUAUUGGACAAUGGGGGGAACCCUGAUCCAGCCAUGCCGCGUGUGUGAAGAAGGCCUUAUGGUUGUAAAGCACUUUAAGCGAGGAGGAGGCUACUGAGACUAAUACUCUUGGAUAGUGGACGUUACUCGCAGAAUAAGCACCGGCUAACUCUGUGCCAGCAGCCGCAGUAA
rnacentral:rRNA from 1 species